rnacentral:rRNA from 1 species
AACGAACGCUGGCGGCAGGCCUAACACAUGCAAGUCGAGCGCCCCAGCGAUGGGGAGCGGCGGACGGGUGAGUAACGCGUGGGAACGUGCCUCUUGCUACGGAAUAGCCUCGGGAAACUGGGAGUAAUACCGUAUGUGCCCUACGGGGGAAAGAUUUAUCGGCAAGAGAUCGGCCCGCGUUGGAUUAGGUAGUUGGUGGGGUAAUGGCCUACCAAGCCGACGAUCCAUAGCUGGUUUGAGAGGAUGAUCAGCUACACUGGGACUGAGACACGGCCCAGACUCCUACGGGAGGCAGCAGUGGGGAAUCUUAGACAAUGGGCGCAAGCCUGAUCUAGCCAUGCCGCGUGAGCGAUGAAGGCCUUAGGGUUGUAAAGCUCUUUCAGUGGGGAAGAUAAUGACUGUACCCACAGAAGAAGCCCCGGCUAACUCCGUGCCAGCAGCCGCGGUAAAGUAGU